AGAAAAAAAAUUUCUCUCUCUCUAAACCUCUCACCCUUUCUCUCUCUAAUCGGUGUCGCCAUCGCUGGUGGAGGACGGCUGCCGCUCCACCACUCUCUCCUUUCUCCUCUUCCCUCUCCAACCAACAUAAACCGUCCACCCCUGUCGUCAUCCAUAAAGCAAUGGUCACUGCCUCUCCAGCAUCAUCAACCUGCCACCACCGAGCUGACAAUCGAUCGAUUGGCAUUUACCCCUGCUCUCUCCGUUAGUCGCCACCGCCAAUCGGUCGAUGAAACUGACACCAUCUCCUCUCUAGUUCUCCCGUUCCCAGUCGUGACUCAACACCGACCACCAUGGUGGGUGAACCAGCCAGGCCACCGACGAUCCCCCUCUUCAGUCGCUGCUUUAGCUGGCGCCACCAACGAAGCCGGCGACCACGACCGUUCCAAACCAACAACAACAACAACCUCCGUUCCACCAGCCGCCAUUAAAGUCCGCCACAAGCUACUGAAAUAUCACCUUCAUGCGUGCUUCCACCAACCAACGAACCCCGACUAGCGGACCAACAAACAACAUCACAAUUCGGCUAUUCCGGCUAAAUUUGAUAGAAAAAGAGGUGUAGAUUUUAUAAUGGAUUUUAUAAUCUAUCUCAGGUUUGCACCCUUUUACUGAAAUUUGUUCUUAUUUCAUUUUUCAAAUGAAAUUUGUGAUGUUUGAGUUCGAAUUUUAAUUCAACGUCUUUCAUUACAUGUUUAUUUGCAUCUUUGGGCUGAUAUAUGUGAAACCCUCAAAUCUUGAACAAAUUUCUGCCUAAUCCUGCUAGUACGCAAAACCCCCUAAACCUUUCUUCCCUCUUCAUUUUGCUUUUAAUAUGUUGAAAUUAAGCUGAGUUUUAGUUUUUCGUAGAUGACCUUGAUAUGAUAAUUUUGGUUUUCGUGUUCAAUAUUCGUUUUGAAUUUGAAACUGAUUUUCAAAACUGCUUUAUGCUAAGAUUUUCUUGACAAACUUGGAUUUUUAAAUCUCGCCUUAAUAUAUUAGGCGAUUAUUUUUUAUAGUUGGGGAUUUGAGUUUGUGCGUAAUUACAUUAACCCGUACAUAUUAAAUCUCUUUUCUUUUGGUAAGUUGCUUUGUUAAUAAUAAUUAAUUGGGACUAGUUGCUUGAUUUGUGUGAAAUUUUGGACUAAUUAUUUGGUGAAAAGUUGUUAUCCUUAUUUAUGGCUUUGCUCCCUUUGUUUUGAAGUCAACCGAGUUGAUUAAGGAAGGAAAUAUUUCAAUUAGUUUUUCAGAAUAUUUUUUCCCCUUAAUCAUGUGCCCUCUUACCUUGUGGACAGAUUUGUAUGGUAAUAUUUAAGGAAAUUUAAUAUUUUUCUCCUCCUUAAUUGAUUCUGAUUGAUUUUUUAGAAUAAUCUAUUUUCCUUUCUUACUAUGGGUAAUUGAUCCUUCUAUAUUCUUUCCUUUCAACUCUUUAUCAAGUCGACUAUAUAAACAACACCUCCUCAUUGUUUGAGGGCAUGACUGACAACCUUCACUCCUUGAUAUGAAAAGAUUUAAGUAAAUACAAGUUUUUCUUUAUUUCUUGUCUAAGUUGCAUUUAUUUUCGAAACCUUGGUCCUGAUCGAUCUUUAUUCUUUUAUGAAAAUUCGCUCGAAUAUUGCUAUACCUGAUUUUUUAUUACUGCUUGUUAUCGUCAACCGGUGAGUCCUUGUCGACGUAAUUUUCUUUAUACCUUAUAUGAUAAUGCUAGUAAACAUGUUUAUAGAAAUCAUUCGGUGUUUUCUUGCUAUGUCUGUGUCAUGUUAUAUUUCUGGUUGUAUUGCUAUUACAUAUUGUCUCACAUGUGUAAAUAGACAGCUUUGGAUAUUUGAAGAGUCGCCGGAAUGUAUGUGGGGGAGGGUUGCAACUUUUCUUUCUUUGUUCAUUAAUUUAUUUUUGAUUCAUGGUGUUGUAAUAACUUUGUAUAAACUUGGUGUAAUAAUAAAUUUGAUACUGCUCAGGAGGUGGGAAUUUAUGUGCUCUUUGAAUAGCUUAGGCAAAUGCAACUUGAAGUUUGUGUGAUUUAUGUGCUAUCACUUAGGCAAACAAAAUCUAGAAUUCGUUGAUUAAUUUGAUUUGUCACUUGACAACAUGCCUUUAGGAUUAUUAAUCAACAUCUAGCCUAGGAUUAAUUUCAACCCAUAUAUUUAAUGUUUUGGCUAUCGUAGGUGAUUUUAAUACUUCCAUGUCUCUAACCAAAAAGAAAAUCGUCAUUUUGCUAGUAUGAUAAAAAUGAAUUUUUCAGUAACUACACUUCUUAUUCCUUUAAAAUAAUUUAACAAUUGCACAUUUUAAUGCCAUUAAAAAAAAAAUCAGCAAUCAAGUUUUGUUUUUCAACAUGAUAAUAUGAUCAACAUUAACUCUAAGUAUAACAUUUUAUUUUUACUAUUAAGUCUGUCAUUGCAUGUUUUAGCAUUCCAACACAAUUUAAACAUGUUAAUACGUUAAGCAUGUUAACGAUCAAAUUUCUGCAUUUCUGCAUACUAAACACUAGAAUUAAUUAUGUCAUCACAUGUUUUAGCAUGUAAAUACAAAUCUAAGUAUGUUAAUAAAUUUUCAGCAUGAUUAACAUAAAACAGAUGUGUAUUAAUUUAGUUUCAGCAUAUCAAAAUUAAGUUUAAGUAUUUUUAGCAUGUUAAAUAGUAGAUUAGGUAUGUCAUCGCAUCCUUUAGAAUGUUAACACAGAUUACAGCAUGUUAAAAUUUUCUUAGAACAUGUUAACAUUGGAUUUCUGCAUGUUAUUGCAUUUUCCAGCAUACUAAUAUGAAAUUUCUGCACUAUUAACGUAAUUUUAGCAUGUUAAGUACUAGGUUUUAGGCAUUUUCAGCAUGUUAUUGCAUUUUCCAUCAUGUCAAUAUGAAAUUUCUGCGCACUAACACAAUUGUCAGCAUGUUAAAAAGUAGGUUUUAAGCCUUUUCAACAUGUUAAAUACUAGAAUAAGUAUGUCAUUGUGUUCCUUAGUAUGUUAAUAUAUUUUCAACAUUUAUUGUUAAUUUCUUACACUGUCACUAGUUAACUUGUCUUGCAUAAUAAUGCAAUGGGUAUCACUCCCCAACAUCUUACCUUACUUUGGCCUUUUAUCAAUUUAUAACAUUGUUUGAAAUAAUUUGACAGCCAUUUCUCAUCAAUAACAAUUGCUUCUCGCUUAGAUAUCAUGCCUAUAGGGUAUAAUUAUAUUGAAAUAAUUGCUUGCCAUGCAUGUCAAUCACCUUAACCAACUUUAAUUAUCCAAGAGGAAUCUUUGAUAUUAUUAUGUGCUACCUGUUGUCCGAUGUGUUACGCGCUUUGAGUUAUAGAAAAACAUAGCUUUAUUUGUCUAGACCACAAAUCUGAAUUAGCAAAGCCUAAUUCCUCUUGGGAGAUAACUGGGACGAUAGGUAUUCUAAGGAUGUUAGUUUUAUCCUUGUCUUAGAACGCCUUUAGAUUUGAAAACCAGCCUAGGUGGGGUGGGACGGGUAGUCAUUCGGAAGUAAUGAUCUCCAGAGACAUUACAUGAAAUUUGACAUUGUUACUUGUUUAAGAAUUCGGCCAGUGGGUCGGAUAAGGAUUAAACAAGUUGGGGUUAUAAUCCGAAUAAAAUCAAAACAAUUCCUUGAUUGGACGUUUUGCUAUUUACUUUAUAUAUUUGUUUAUUCUUUUAUUUACUUUACAUGUUUAUUUAUCUGGGGUAGUUAGUUUAUUACAUAAGCAGUCCCCUCUGUUAUAAUUUAUGUCAUUUCUCUCCCUGCUAGUCUUAUUUACAUGUUUUAUUGAUUUUAUCACUUAGAUAAUUAAUAGCUAAAAUAAUUAAGUUAAAUGAUUGUUUAUUAAUUUAAUCAAUAUUUAAGUUAAUAAAAAGCGACCUUUAUUUGAUCACAUAGAAUCCCUACAUAAAUUAUGAAUUCGGU
rnacentral:lncRNA from 1 species